GAUGAACGCUGGCGGCGUGCCUGAUACAUGCAAGUCGAACGAAACUUCUUUAUCACCGAGUGCUUGCACUCACCGAUAAAGAGUUGAGUGGCGAACGGGUGAGUAACACGUGGGCAACCUGCCCAAAAGAGGGGGAUAACACUUGGAAACAGGUGCUAAUACCGCAUAACCAUAGUUACCGCAUGGUAACUAUGUAAAAGGUGGCUAUACUACCGCUUUUGGAUGGGCCCGCGGCGCAUUAGCUAGUUGGUAGGGUAAAGGCUUACCAAGGCAAUGAUGCGUAGCCGAAUUGAGAGGUUGAUCGGCCACAUUGGGACUGAGACACGGCCCAAACUCCUACGGGAGGCAGCAGUAGGGAAUCUUCCACAAUGGGCGAAAGCCUGAUGGAGCAACGCCGCGUGGGUGAAGAAGGUCUUCGGAUCGUAAAACCCUGUUGUUAGAGAAGAAAGUGCGUGAGAGUAACUGUUCACGUUUCGACGGUAUCUAACCAGAAAGCCACGGCUAACUACGUG
rnacentral:rRNA from 1 species